GAAUGUGAGGGUGGUCUGGCUGGGUCAACUGUCAUCCAUCCCAAAUGAUCAACAGGUUUGAUUCAGCUAAUAUGGCUGACUAGACAGGUGUCCCCUUCCUUCCUCACCAUUCCAUAUGUGUCUCUCCUAAAGCUAUCUGUAGUGGAAGAAGAUAACCUUCCCGGUAGAGGAGCACUGUUCUUUGGCCAAAGAUAUGUGAGUAGCUGUGCUCUCCUGUUAGAACCUCUAAAUAAGCACUCAAGGAGGUGAACUAUCUAUGCACUGAAGACUAUAAAAUAUAGAUGAAGGAACUUGAAGAGAAUUCAAAGAAAUGGAAAGGUAUUUUUUUAAGUGGGAAAUAUUAUUU
rnacentral:snRNA from 1 species